rnacentral:rRNA from 1 species
AGUGAACGCUGGCGGUAGGCCUAACACAUGCAAGUCGAACGGCAGCACAGUAAGAGCUUGCUCUUACGGGUGGCGAGUGGCGGACGGGUGAGGAAUACAUCGGAAUCUACUUUUUCGUGGGGGAUAACGUAGGGAAACUUACGCUAAUACCGCAUACGACCUACGGGUGAAAGCAGGGGAUCUUCGGACCUUGCGCGAUUGAAUGAGCCGAUGUCGGAUUCGCUAGUUGGCGGGGCAGAGGCCCACCAAGGCGACGAUCCGUAGCUGGUCUGAGAGGAUGAACAGGCACACUGUAACUGAGACACGGUCCAGACUCCUACGGGAGGAAGCAGUGGGGAAUAUUGGGCGAUGGGCGCGAGCCUGAUCCAGCCAUACCGCGUGGGUGAAGAAGGACUUAGGGUUGUAAAGCGCUUUUGUUGGGAGGGAAGAGCAGCAGGUUAAUACCCCGCUGUUCUGACGGUACCCAAAGAAUAAGCACCGGCUAACUUCGUG